rnacentral:rRNA from 1 species
UAGGGAAUCUUCGGCAAUGGACGAAAGUCUGACCGAGCAACGCCGCGUGAGUGAAGAAGGUUUUCGGAUCGUAAAACUCUGUUGUUAGAGAAGAACAAGGACGUUAGUAACUGAACGUCCCCUGACGGUAUCUAACCAGAAAGCCACGGCUAACUACGUGCCAGCAGCCGCGGUAAUACGUAGGUGGCAACCGUUGUCCGGAUUUAUUGGGCGUAAAGCGAGCGCAGGCGGUUUCUUAAGUCUGAUGUGAAAGCCCCCGGCUCAACCGGGGAGGGUCAUUGGAAACUGGGAGACUUGAGUGCAGAAGAGGAGGGUGGAAUUCCAUGUGUAGCGGUGAACUGCGUAGAUAUAUGGAGGAACACCAGUGGCGAAGGCGGCUCUCUGGUCUGUAACUGACGCUGAGGCUCGAAAGCGUGGGGAGCAAACAGG